rnacentral:rRNA from 1 species
AUUGAACGCUGGCGGCAGGCCUAACACAUGCAAGUCGAACGGAGUGGCGGACGGGUGAGUAAUGUCUGGGAAACUGCCUGGUAGUGGGGGAUAACGUCCGGAAACGGGCGCUAAUACCGCAUACCAUCAGAUGUGCCCAGAUGGGAUUAGCUAGUUGGUGGGGUAACGGCUCACCAAGGCGACGAUCCCUAGCUGGUCUGAGAGGAUGACCAGCCACACUGGAACUGCGACACGGUCCAGACUCCUACGGGAGGCAGCAGUGGGGAAUAUUGGACAAUGGGCGAAAGCCUGAUCCAGCGAUGCCGCGUGUGUGAAGAAGGUCUUCGGAUUGUAAAGCACUUUAAGUUGGGAGGCGUUACCAACAGAAUAAGCGCCGGCUAACUUCGUGCCAGCCGCCGCGGUAAUUC